GGUGAUGUAGCUCAGUGGUAAAGCACUUGCCUAGCAUGUGUGAGGCCCUGAGUUCAAUCCCCAGAACCACUA
rnacentral:tRNA from 1 species